ensembl:lncRNA
GACAAAAGCAAGUUCUACAGAGAGAGAUCACAUGGUGAGAGAGGCAGCAAGACGGAGACCAAAUUUGCUUUACAAAAUCAUAUCCUCUCAAGAACUAAUCUACCCUGGAAUAACAGCAUUAAUCCCUUCUGAGGAUGGAACUUCCGUGACCUAACAACCUGCACAAGGCUCACCUCUUACAGGCUCUCCCACUUCCACAUUGCCUCCCUGGGGAACAAGGUUCCAGCACAGGAGUCUUUAAGGAACACACUCUAACAACAUCCAAACCACAGCAAUUUGUAUAGCCAGCCUCUCAGCAUUCACUGAGUUCUUGAAGCUAAGAGGGGUUCCAGAAGGUCCAGAUGUCCAACUUCUUUUAACUGCAUCAGGCUGAGAAGGGGCCAUGACCAUCCCUAACCAAGGACCAAAAGUCUCAUCCUGUCUGAUCUAAAGGAGACAUAGGAAUAUCAGGUAAUCCUUUAUGCAACAGAGUGCUUCAUGGCUCAAGAAUAUGGAUGCUGGUAAUUCACAUAUGCCACGGAGAAGCUGUGAAAUGUUUCCUUUAAAUGAAAAGGCAUCCACUGGGCAUCUGGAAAUGUUCGUGGAGGAGACGAAGAACUACUACAAUCACUUCUUGUCCUUCUAGGUCUGGGAUUGGUUGUCUCAUGGACACAUCUGCUUGUCAACUGGAUGUGUGGAAAUUCUGACUUGGUCCAGUGAUAUGAUCUGAUUGUUGUUUAAGCAAUGUCAUUAGAAAUUUGUACUCCACUGUGUCUGCCCCAGUCCUGUUCCACUAGACUCUAAGACAAUUCUCUGUUGAGAAUGAACACUCUAACCUAUAUCCAACUGCAAGGAUUUCAUGAAAGCAUCUGAGUAAACCAAAACAUUCCCCCCAGAAUUGAUCUGCUG